AUGAACGCUGGCGGCGUGCCUAAUACAUGCAAGUCGAACGAGUUCUCGUUGAUGAUCGGUGCUUGCACCGAGAUUCAACAUGGAACGAGUGGCGGACGGGUGAGUAACACGUGGGUAACCUGCCCUUAAGUGGGGGAUAACAUUUGGAAACAGAUGCUAAUACCGCAUAGAUCCAAGAACCGCAUGGUUCUUGGCUGAAGGAUGGCGUAAGCUAUCGCUUUUGGAUGGACCCGCGGCGUAUUAGCUAGUUGGUGAGGUAAUGGCUCACCAAGGCGAUGAUACGUAGCCGAACUGAGAGGUUGAUCGGCCACAUUGGGACUGAGACACGGCCCAAACUCCUACGGGAGGCAGCAGUAGGGAAUCUUCCACAAUGGACGCAAGUCUGAUGGAGCAACGCCGCGUGAGUGAAGAAGGCUUUCGGGUCGUAAAACUCUGUUGUUGGAGAAGAAUGGUCGGCAGAGUAACUGUUGUCGGCGUGACGGUAUCCAACCAGAAAGCCACGGCUAACUACGUGCCAGCAGCCGCGGUAAUACGUAGGUGGCAAGCGUUAUCCGGAUUUAUUGGGCGUAAAGCGAGCGCAGGCGGUUUUUUAAGUCUGAUGUGAAAGCCCUCGGCUUAACCGAGGAAGCGCAUCGGAAACUGGGAAACUUGAGUGCAGAAGAGGACAGUGGAACUCCAUGUGUAGCGGUGAAAUGCGUAGAUAUAUGGAAGAACACCAGUGGCGAAGGCGGCUGUCUGGUCUGUAACUGACGCUGAGGCUCGAAAGCAUGGGUAGCGAACAGGAUUAGAUACCCUGGUAGUCCAUGCCGUAAACGAUGAAUGCUAGGUGUUGGAGGGUUUCCGCUCUUCAGUGCCGCAGCUAACGCAUUAAGCAUUCCGCCUGGGGAGUACGACCGCAAGGUUGAAACUCAAAGGAAUUGACGGGGGCCCGCACAAGCGGUGGAGCAUGUGGUUUAAUUCGAAGCAACGCGAAGAACCUUACCAGGUCUUGACAUCUUUUGAUCACCUGAGAGAUCAGGUUUCCCCUUCGGGGGCAAAAUGACAGGUGGUGCAUGGUUGUCGUCAGCUCGUGUCGUGAGAUGUUGGGUUAAGUCCCGCAACGAGCGCAACCCUUAUGACUAGUUGCCAGCAUUUAGUUGGGCACUCUAGUAAGACUGCCGGUGACAAACCGGAGGAAGGUGGGGAUGACGUCAAAUCAUCAUGCCCCUUAUGACCUGGGCUACACACGUGCUACAAUGGAUGGUACAACGAGUUGCGAGACCGCGAGGUCAAGCUAAUCUCUUAAAGCCAUUCUCAGUUCGGACUGUAGGCUGCAACUCGCCUACACGAAGUCGGAAUCGCUAGUAAUCGCGGAUCAGCACGCCGCGGUGAAUACGUUCCCGGGCCUUGUACACACCGCCCGUCACACCAUGAGAGUUUGUAACACCCGAAGCCGGUGGCGUAACCCUUUUAGGGAGCGAGCCGUCUAAGGUGGGACAAAUGAUUAGGGUG
rnacentral:rRNA from 1 species